rnacentral:rRNA from 1 species
UACGUAGGGGGCGAGCGUUGUCCGAAGUUACUGGGCGUAAAGAGCGCGUAGGCGGGUCUUUAAGUGAGUGGUGAAAGGUUCGGGCUUAACCCGGACACUGCCUUUCAUACUGGGGACCUUGAGUGCGGGAGAGGCGAGUGGAAUGGUCGGUGUAGCGGUGAAAUGCGUAGAUAUCGGUCGGAACACCCAUGGCGAAGGCAGCUCGCUGGCCUGCAACUGACGCUGAGGCGCGAAAGCGUGGGGAGCAAACAGG